rnacentral:lncRNA from 1 species
AAAAGAAGGGCCAUGAAACUGAUUAAAUAACUGAGAUAAUGCUUGACAAUACUGUUUACCCCGUCAAGCAAGAGCAGAAUAGGAAAAGGUCAUCCCAUGGUACUUCAUGGCCAAGGUAAAGAAAAGAAUUUGUCCGAAAAGGAGCCUCUCCAUAAGAGAAAGUAGGGGCAUUAUGGAAAAUUCACUCUAUCUAAUUAAUAAAAGUCCCAUCCCACCAUCUCCC